ACGGGAGGCAGCAGUGGGGGAUAUUGCACAAUGGGGGAAACCCUGAUGCAGCAACGCCGCGUGAGGGAAGAAGGUUCUUGGAUUGUAAACCUCUGUCUUUGGGGACGAUAAUGACGGUAUCCAGAGAGGAAGCUCCGGCUAACUACGUGCCAGCAGCCGCGGUAAUACGUAGGGGGCGAGCGUUGUCCGGAAUUACUGGGUGUAAAGGGAGUGUAGGCGGGUUUGUAAGUUGAAUGUGAAAUUUAUGGGCUUAACCCAUAAACUGCGUUCAAAACUGCAAAUCUUGAGUGAAGUAGAGGUAAACGGAAUUCCUAGUGUAGCGGUGAAAUGCGUAGAUAUUAGGAGGAACACCAGUGGCGAAAGCGGUUUACUGGGCUUAUACUGACGCUGAGGCUCGAAAGCGUGGGGAGCAAACAGGAUUAGAUACCCUGGUA
rnacentral:rRNA from 1 species